UAACAAGGAUUCCCCUAGUAACUGCGAGUGAAGCGGGAAAAGCUCAAAUUUAAAAUCUGGCGGUCUUUGGCUGUCCGAGUUGUAAUCUAGAGAAGUGUUAUCCGCGCUGGACCGUGUACAAGUCUCCUGGAAUGGAGCGUCAUAGAGGGUGAGAAUCCCGUCUUUGACACGGACUGCCAGGGCUUUGUGAUGCGCUCUCAAAGAGUCGAGUUGUUUGGGAAUGCAGCUCAAAAUGGGUGGUAAAUUCCAUCUAAAGCUAAAUAUUGGCGAGAGACCGAUAGCGAACAAGUACCGUGAGGGAAAGAUGAAAAGAACUUUGGAAAGAGAGUUAAACAGUACGUGAAAUUGCUGAAAGGGAAACGCUUGAAGUCAGUCGCAUUGUGUGGGAAUCAACCUUGCUUUUGCUGGGUGUAUUUUCCAUAUGAUGGGUCAGCAUCAAUUUUGACCGUUGGAUAAAGUUCAAGGGAAUGUGGCAUCUUCGGAUGUGUUAUAGCCCUUGGUCGUAUACAACGAUUGGGAUUGAGGAACUCAGCACGCCGAAAGGCCGGGUCUUGUACCACGUUCGUGCUUAGGAUGCUGGC
rnacentral:rRNA from 1 species